rfam:Bombyx mori DNA, contig: Bm_scaf39_contig22930, strain: p50T/Dazao, build 2, whole genome shotgun sequence.
CUACUUGUUUCGAAAGUACAUACAGUAAAGUUGGGGCAAUACGGAGACGAUUAGCAUGGCCCCUGCGCAAGGUUGACACACGAAAAUGGGAAGGUAUGCAUGCGAUC